rnacentral:rRNA from 1 species
CCUACGGGAGGCUGCAGUGGGGAAUAUUGGACAAUGGGCGAAAGCCUGAUCCAGCCAUGCCGCGUGUGUGAAGAAGGCCUUCGGGUUGUAAAGCACUUUCAGUGGGGAAGAAAGCCUUGGGGCUAAUACCCUCGAGGAAGGACAUCACCCACAGAAGAAGCACCGGCUAACUCCGUGCCAGCAGCCGCGGUAAUACGGUGGGUGCGAGCGUUAAUCGGAAUUACUGGGCGUAAAGCGCGCGUAGGCGGUCUGAUAAGCCGGUUGUGAAAGCCCCGGGCUCAACCUGGGAACGGCAUCCGGAACUGUCAGGCUAGAGUGCAGGAGAGGAAGGUAGAAUUCCCGGUGUAGCGGUGAAAUGCGUAGAGAUCGGGAGGAAUACCAGUGGCGAAGGCGGCCUUCUGGACUGACACUGACGCUGAGGUGCGAAAGCGUGGGUAGCAAACAGGAUUAGAUACCCCAGUAUC